GUGGCGUGAGCACGAGUGGAGUGAGGGGGUGCGGGGAAAAAGAGAGAGGAGGGUGCCCCUUUUAUAGUGACGCGAGAGAGAGGCUUAAACACGCGCCCUAAAUUGCGAAUUGAAGACGAGGCUUAAUGGCGGCGCGCGCUGGAUUCCCGGACGAAGCUUGAAGACAACUGACAGGCGGACCCCACCUGUCAGUGACCGUUGGCUGCGGGCGGCGCCUGGCUGGGCUGGCUCGCGGGCUGCGCGCGCGGAGUUGACUAGGCCGGUUCAGCCCAGGUUGGCCAGGCCGGUCCAUUUUUUUUUUGUUCUUUUCUUUUCUCUUUUUCUUUUUCUGUGUUUCCUUUAUAACUUAUGAUUUUGAACACCGAAUGGACUCAAAUAAAUUCCAGAAAAUUUGUAAAACCAUAUCCUUUAAUGCCAUAGCAUCUGGGACUUGAUUUCUUCCAAAAGUAAAUUAUGAAAAAUAGUUUUGCUUAUACAAUUGCCUCUAGUGCAAUAAUAUUUAGAAACAAAAUAGUUUUUCAACUCCAAAAUAAAUCCCAAAAAUUAUGCGGUAGCUCAUCUUAUUGCAUUAAACCCCUUUCUAUAUUUUUCAACCCCAUGGGUUGAAAAAUUCCAAAAAGAUGCAAAGGAGAUAUUUAAAAGGGGAAAAGGCUUAAUAAAAGUUUUUAAAAUUUUAAAUCUUUGGUUUAAAAGUGCUCAAGUGUAUGAAUGGUAUGAUGUUCAUGAGUGCAAAUCCAUGAUGCAAAGUUUGGGAAAAUUGGGAUGUUACAAGUUCCUCAAGAGAUACCGGUCGUUUAUACGUAGCUUUGAAGGUGCGCGUGAAUGCCUGGACCAACUUGUCCCAUGAGGUGAUUUCGCCAUCGUGUAGGCUAUUCAACCAGGUGCUAGCUAGUCUUGACAGCGAAUCCUAGCAAGAUAGUCUUCCAGCCAAGUCCUGGGCUCCUGAGUGCCGUC
rnacentral:lncRNA from 1 species